rfam:Spinacia oleracea cultivar SynViroflay scaffold5371.con0003.1, whole genome shotgun sequence.
CGCAUAUUAGCUCAAAUGGUAGAGCAAUGUGCAUUGCACAUAAGUGUAGGUUCAAAUCCUACAUAGGCUA